GACGUAGGGCGCGAGCGUUGUCCGGAUUUAUUGGGCGUAAAGAGCUCGUAGGCGGCUUGUCGCGUCGACUGUGAAAACCCGCGGCUCAACUGCGGGCCUGCAGCCGAUACGGGCAGGCUAGAGUUCGGUAGGGGAGACUGGAAUUCCUGGUGUAGCGGUGAAAUGCGCAGAUAUCAGGAAGAACACCCGUGGCGAAGGCGGCUCUCUGGGACGGUACUGACGCUGAGACGCGAAAGCCAGGGGAGCAAACGGG
rnacentral:rRNA from 1 species